rnacentral:rRNA from 1 species
GAGGGGCCCGCGCCCGAUUAGCUUGUUGGCGAGGUAACGGCUCACCAAGGCAAUGAUCGGUAGCCGGUCUGAGAGGAUGGCCGGCCACACUGGAACUGAGACACGGUCCAGACUCCUACGGGAGGCAGCAGUGGGGAAUCUUGCGCAAUGGGCGAAAGCCUGACGCAGCGACGCCGCGUGGGGGAUGAAGCUUCUCGGAGUGCAAACCCCUUUCGACCCGGACGAAACACCCGCAAGGGUUUGACGGUACGGGUAUAAGAAGCCCCGGCUAACUACGUGCCAGCAGCCGCGGUAAGACGUAGGGGGCCAGCGUUGCUCGGAAUUACUGGGCGUAAAGGGUUCGUAGGCGGUGUGGCAAGUCGGGAGUGAAAUCUCUGGGCUUAACUCAGAGGCUGCUUCCGAAACUGCCGUGCUAGAGUGCGGGAGAGGCGAGUGGAAUUGCAGGUGUAGCGGUGAAAUGCGUAGAUAUCUGCAGG